GUGCCAGCAGCCGCGGUAAUACGGAAGGUCCGAGCGUUAUCCGGAUUUAUUGGGUUUAAAGGGAGCAUAGGCGGAAUCGUAAGUCAGCCGUUAAAUAGCGGGGCUCAACCCCGUAGUGCGGUUGAAACUGCGGUUCUUGAGUGCACGAGAGGUAGGUGGAAUUCGUGGUGUAGCGGUGAAAUGCUUAGAUAUCACGAAGAACUCCGAUUGCGAAGGCAGCUUACUGGUGUGUUACUGACGCUGAUGCUCGAAGGUGCGGGUAUCAAACAGGAUUAGAUACCCUGGUAGUCCGCACGGUAAACGAUGGAUGCUCGCGAUUUGGUCAUUGUGAUUGAGUCGCCCAGCGAAAGCGUUAAGCAUCCCACCUGGGGAGUACGCCGGCAACGGUGAAACUCAAAGGAAUUGACGGGGGCCCGCACAAGCGGAGGAACAUGUGGUUUAAUUCGAUGAUACGCGAGGAACCUUACCCGGGCUUGAAAUGUACCUGACGGCUCAGAGAGACCUGAGCUUUCUUCGGACAGGUAUGUAGGUGCUGCAUGGUUGUCGUCAGCUCGUGCCGUGAGGUGUCGGCUUAAGUGCCAUAACGAGCGCAACCCUUAUCGCUGGUUACCAUCAAUUCGGUUGGGGACUCCAGCGACACUGCCAUCGCAAGAUGUGAGGAAGGCGGGGAUGACGUCAAAUCAGCACGGCCCUUACGUCCGGGGCUACACACGUGUUACAAUGGGGGGCACAGCAAGUUGGAUGGCGGCGACGCUGUCCGAAUCCUCAAAUCCCCUCCCAGUUCGGACUGGAGUCUGCAACCCGACUCCACGAAGCUGGAUUCGCUAGUAAUCGCGCAUCAGCCAUGGCGCGGUGAAUACGUUCCCGGGCCUUGUACACACCGCCCGU
rnacentral:rRNA from 1 species